rnacentral:tRNA from 1 species
CCUCUGGUAGCUCAGUUGGUAGAGCGGUGGACUGUAGAUCCAUAGGUCGCUGCUUAAAAUACGGCCCAGAGGA